AUGCGAAGGCAGGAGCCAGGUGUUUCUCCUGGUCUCCCAUCGGGUGCAGGGCCCAAGCACUUGGGCCAUCUUCCACUGCACUCCCGGGCCACAGCAGAGAGCUGGCCUGGAAGAGGGGCAACCGGGACAGAAUCUGGUGCCCCGACCGGGACUAGAACCUGGUGUGCCGAUGCCGCAAGGCGGAGGAUUAGCCUAUUGAGCCACAGCGCCGGCCCAAGACUCAGAAUUUCUGGAAGAUCCCGCUGCAAACAGAUCCUCACGCGUCCCGGGAACUGGCGAGCUGCAGCGCGGGCCGGAAGUGCGGCAGCAGUGACGUCACAGGUGAGUGACGUCACAGGUGAGCGCUGUCCUGGGACGAAAACCUGGCUGCGCUGGGAUUUUUGCACCUCCUGAUCACGAGAAAUUCCAAGCCCACGAGGGCCUGGCCGCUCACGUCAGACACAGCCAGGAGGAAGAUCCAUGUGGAAGGCCCAUUUGUCUGUCUGCAGAAGAACUGGCCCGGCACAGCCAGAGAGCCAGGCCCUCCUCUCACCUGGGCGGGCGGUUCUGUGCCUGAGCAGUUCCUUACCCAGAAGCACUUUGCAAAGAAUUCCCACCUGAUCCUUCCGCGAGCCUUGUCCCUAGAGCUCAGGAAGCUGAGGCUCAGAUUGCCUGAGUCAUCACACUCGGCCCCCUCUAGGAAUGCAGACACCAAGUUCAUGGCUGUCUUCUUCUGUCCGCAGAGAAUGCUAGAUAAAGCCCUCCUGAACAGUCCAGAACCCUCAAAGGCCUGGGAAAGCCUGAGAAAGGAGUCAGGGAAUCAGCAAGUUUCGGUUCUGCCAAGAAACAAAUGGAACGUCAGGGACCCGGACCCACCGUCCCUGGGGCCCCAGCUUCCAUCCAAGCCGCCCCCACACAUCUUGACUUUGUGGUAGGGUCCUUGAAAUUCCAUUUCCCAACUUCCUGGCAGCUCUUAGGGCAGCGGAUGGUAAUCCCGUUAGUGUUGGCCACAGUCCCCACUUGCUCUGGGGCAGGCUGCCUCCUCCCCCACACGAUUGCCUGGCCCGCCAGCCAGCAGUCUCGCUGGGGAUUCCGCACCCUUGCCAAGACCCCUCCUACCGCGUGGAAGCGGUUCGUGCGAGUGAGUGAUGUCGCAUGUCCCACACUACCAUCCACCCUGCCUCUGCCCUGCUCACCCACCCGACAGUCCCCACCCCACCUCCUGCUUUCAUAAGCGUGUGCUGUGUGAGGGGAUACGGCCCUGGGACACGGCCAGCUUUGCAGGAGCAGGGAGCUCAGCACCUCCAGACCUGGGACAGCCGUGUGCUCCUCUCAUCUGGGGCAUCAUUUGUGGGCUCCCCCUUGAGGAACUCAGCACCUCUCACUGCUGCUGGCUGCUUCUGGCUCCUUCUAAGGAAGUCCCCAACCCCCUCAGGGUCAUGAGUCCUCAGGAACAGGAAUCUAAAUGACACGGAGACAGAACAGUACUGACAGUACCUGCUGUUUGUAAUUAAAGUCCAACAAAGUGCCUUUUAUGUCAUCUCUCAAUUAUCCACGAGAUUAGUCCAGGGAGUGGUACAAAGUAGAAAAUCGCAAUCACCUUGUGUGUUGUGCUUGACAGUUUACAGCAUAUUUCUUUAUUUGAAAAUAUUUAAAAUGUGUUGUUUUUCUUAAUUUUCAGAAUAAAGCUGGGUGUGUUACAUAUGGAUCCA
ensembl:lncRNA